GGGGCUGUUUUUGGAUUUGACAAAAUUAUCAACAAAGUAAAGUGCAUGCCGAGGAACGGUUUGCCUCGAUAAAAGCCGUAAAAAAAUAAUUGCAAAUAAUAAACAAAACUACGCUUUAGCAGCUUAAAAAACUGAAUAAAGCCCUUCCUUCUUAUCCUCCUUCUCUUAGGAUGAGAAAACAGGAAGGUCAGAAAAAGAGAAAAACGUGGAUAUCAAGCUUGACGAUAACACGAAGUAGUUUUUUCAAGCUAUAUACCUAAUAUGUGUUUUUCCAAAUUAGGUAAUGAAUUCAAUA
rnacentral:tmRNA from 1 species